rnacentral:rRNA from 1 species
AUUGAACGCUGGCGGCAUGCUUUACACAUGCAAGUCGAACGGCAGCGCGGGCUUCGGCCUGGCGUCGAGUGGCGGACGGGUGAGUAAUGCAUCGGAACGUGCCCAGUAGUGGGGGAUAGCUCGGCGAAAGCGGGAUUAAUACCGCAUACGACCUGAGGGUGAAAGCGGGGGAUCUUCGGACCUCGCGCUAUUGGAGCAGCCGAUGGCGGAUUAGCUAGUUGGUGGGGUAAAGGCCUACCAAGGCGACGAUCUGUAGCUGGUCUGAGAGGACGACCAGCCACACUGGGACUGAGACACGGCCCAGACUCCUACGGGAGGCAGCAGUGGGGAAUUUUGGACAAUGGGCGAAAGCCUGAUCCAGCCAUGCCGCGUGUGUGAUGAAGGCCUUCGGGUUGUAAAGCACUUUUGGCGGGAACGAAAAGGACUGUGCCAAUACCACGGUUCGAUGACGGUACCCGCAGAAUAAGCACCGGCUAACUACGUG